GUUACUCCUACGGGAGGCAGCAGUGGGGAAUAUUGCACAAUGGGGGAAACCCUGAUGCAGCCAUGCCGCGUGUGUGAAGAAGGCCUUCGGGUUGUAAAGCACUUUCAGUAGGGAGGAAGGUAGUGUAGUUAACACCUGCAUUAUUGACGUACAUCGAGAUCCCAGUCG
rnacentral:rRNA from 1 species